rnacentral:rRNA from 1 species
GAUGAACGCUGGCGGCGUGCUUAACACAUGCAAGUCGAACGGAAAGGCCCAAGCUUGCUUGGGUACUCGAGUGGCGAACGGGUGAGUAACACGUGGGUGAUCUGCCCUGCACUUCGGGAUAAGCCUGGGAAACUGGGUCUAAUACCGGAUAGGACCACAUUUUGGAUGGUGUGGUGGAAAGUUUUUCGGUGUGGGAUGAGCUCGCGGCCUAUCAGCUUGUUGGUGGGGUAAUGGCCUACCAAGGCGUCGACGGGUAGCCGGCCUGAGAGGGUGUACGGCCACAUUGGGACUGAGAUACGGCCCAGACUCCUACGGGAGGCAGCAGUGGGGAAUACUGCACAAUGGGCGCAAGCCUGAUGCAGCGACGCCGCGUGGGGGAUGACGGCCUUCGGGUUGUAAACUCCUUUCGCUAGGGACGAAGCGUUAUGUGACGGUACCUGGAGAAGAAGCACCGGCUAACUACGUG